rnacentral:rRNA from 1 species
UACGUAGGGUGCAAGCGUUAAUCGGAAUUACUGGGCGUAAAGCGUGCGCAGGCGGCUCUGCAAGACAGAUGUGAAAUCCCCGGGCUUAACCUGGGAACUGCAUUUGUGACUGCAGGGCUAGAGUACGGUAGAGGGGGAUGGAAUUCCGCGUGUAGCAGUGAAAUGCGUAGAUAUGCGGAGGAACACCGAUGGCGAAGGCAAUCCCCUGGACCUGUACUGACGCUCAUGCACGAAAGCGUGGGGAGCAAACAGG